rnacentral:rRNA from 1 species
AUGAAGCUCGACGUGAACGCCCUCCGCUACCUCUCCAAGGAUGACUUCCGCGUCCUCACCGCCUGCGAGAUGGGCAUGCGCAACCACGAGAUCGUGCCCGCGGAGCUCGUCGACCGCAUCGCCGGAUUGAAGCAUGGAGGCACAUAUAAAGUGCUGCGGAAUCUGUUGAAGAACAAACUGGUGCACCAUGAUUGUAAAAAAUAUGAUGGGUUUCGGCUCACAUACCUUGGGUAUGACUUCCUCGCCAUAAAAACUUUGGUUAAUCGUGGAGUCUUUGCUUCGGUUGGUCGCCAAAUCGGUGUUGGAAAAGAGUCAGAUAUAUUUGAGGUUGCCACGGAGGAUGGAACAGUGUUGGCCAUGAAGCUUCAUAGGUUGGGUAGGACAUCUUUUAGGGCUGUCAAAUCAAAGCGUGACUAUUUAGCUCACCGGAGGAGCUUUAACUGGCUGUACCUAUCACGACUUGCGGCCUUAAAGGAAUUUGCUUUUAUGAAGGCUUUAGGAGACCAUGGAUUCCCUGUUCCCACAGCGGUGGACUGCAAUCGGCACUGUGUGAUCAUGUCACUUGUGCCGGGAUAUCCACUUGUUCAGAUAAGAGAAUUGCAAAAUCCAGAUGAUGUUUUUGACAAAAUUCUUGGUCUUGUAAUUCGUUUGGCGGAGCAUGGGCUGAUACAUUGUGAUUUUAAUGAAUUCAAUAUCAUGAUUGACGAUGAUGAAACUGUUACGAUGAUCGACUUCCCACAGAUGGUAUCUGUUUCGCACCGGAAUGCCCAGAUGUAUUUUGAUCGAGAUAUUGGGUGUAUCUACAAGUUCUUCAACAAAAGGUUCAAUCUUACAGAGAAAGGUGGACAAGAUGGUUCUGAAACUGAUGAUGAUGACAGUGGCAGGCCGUCCUUUCUGUCCAUUCAAAAGUCUUCUGGUGCCUUGGACAAAGAACUAGCUGCCAGUGGCUUCACCAAAAAAGAGCAAGUUGAGAUAGAAAAGUUCAUUGAUGAGAAUGCUGAAGAACACGAUUCCGGCUCAGAUGAUGAGGAUUCAACAUCAGAACAGGAUAGUGAAGGUGGCGAUGCCGUGUCUGCUGAAAUCAGUUCCUUGAAAAUAGUAGACCAGGACCCUGCAGGUGUGCCUGAUCUUGUUGUGAUGGAUUCAGAUAAACAUGAAACUUUAUCUAAAGAGCAUGCAACAAGCACAAGUCCCAGUGGCGAGAACAAAUCGACAGAUCCAGCCGACGAUGGCAUCGUGGACCCUAAGGGAGCCGAAUCAGGAGGCGACGACGACGAUGACUCGUCUGAGGAUACCGAGGAUGAAGAUGACGCAUUGCUGACAAAGCAGCUGAACAAGCAAAGGAAAAGGGCGAUGGCAGCCGCCCUCGGGCGUAGAAGGCCCCUCAACUCGAGGAACGCUUACAAGGAUAAGGGCAAGGGCACCAUGAACUCCAAGAUCCAGAGGCAAGCCUGCCAAUGGUGA